AAGACCAUAUAUAAAUUGUUGUAGGUUUUUUAGGCAAUUGGGAUUUUUGAGCUUUUUAAUUUUAUUUUAUUGUUCUGCUUGCAGGUAGUGUGAAGUUGAAAUAAUAUUUAACAAUAUGUAAGGGCUUCAUUUGAUAGUACAAAGAAAUGCACAAUUAUAGGCUUCCUUGGCAAAAUAAAGGCCUUAUUUGAAGGUUUUCUUUUGUGCUUUUAUUUGUGGACUGGUCGAGUUAAUUGAAAGACAACUCUGCAUGUUGUUUAGACAUCUUUGUUGUAGGACCUACCCGUAAAUGGAUCCUUUGAGAAGAUGUGAUAUUAAAUUGUUAAUCCAUUAAUGUAUGCUCCAGUUGAGACUGCUUAUGCCUAAUAUUCGUGAGCCUAUCUUCAAUUGAGACCGUUAAUGACUAAUAUUGUUAUGGGACCUGUCCGUCAAUAUGUCUUUUGAUUACACGUGUUAUGGCAUUGUUGAUGCAUUUAUUAUAUGCUCCAAUAGUGAUUGCGAAUGUUUGUUAUUUCUAAACACAUUGUUAACUUAUUCGUAC